GCAGGAAGAGCGUAAAGCAGCUGCUCGGGCACCUCUAGCUUGGCGUCUCCGCUCUACCACUCCUCUCCUCAUCUUCCCAGGCGCAACCACCACAUGUCGGGAUGCUGUCGUGUUGGAAGUGACCCGUCGCCCACCUCCACCGAAGAUGGCCAAAACUCAGGUGACCGACUUGGUUGGGAAUUUCAUCAAACACACAGAUGGC
rnacentral:lncRNA from 1 species